AUUGAACGCUGGCGGAAUGCUUUACACAUGCAAGUCGAACGGCAGCACGGACUUCGGUCUGGUGGCGAGUGGCGAGCGGGUGAGUAAUGUAUCGGAACGUGCCCAGUCGUGGGGGAUAACGUAGUGAAAAUUACGCUAAUACCGCAUACGAUCUAUGGAUGAAAGCGGGGGAUCGCAAGACCUCGCGCGAUUGGAGCGGCCGAAAUCAGAUUAGGUAGUUGGUGGGGUAAAGGCCCACCAAGCCAACGAUCUGUAGCUGGUCUGAGAGGACGACCAGCCACACUGGAACUGAGACACGGUCCAGACUCCUACGGGAGGCAGCAGUGGGGAAUUUUGGACAAUGGGCGAAAGCCUGAUCCAGCCAUUCCGCGUGCAGGAUGAAGGCCCUCGGGUUGUAAACUGCUUUUGUACAGAACGAAAAGGUUUCUACUAGUACUAGGAGCUCAUGACGGUACUGUAAGAAUAAGCACCGGCUAACUACGUGCCAGCCGCCGCAGUAA
rnacentral:rRNA from 1 species